UCCUGUACUGCACAUAAACAGGAGCCUGCUCCACUUAGUUGGCAGCUGCAUACGGGGAGGGCUGUGGGUUGUCAUUGUUAUUGCCAUAAUACUGUGUGUAAAGAUAUCAGCCUGUACUGAGACCCAGUUAGGCUGUCAGCACAGCAAGCUGGAGGCCCCUGGAGAAGCAGAAAGACAGAUGACUUGCCUGCAGUUAAACAUAAGUCAGUGGCAAAAAAUAGUACCUGGUCUCUGGAAUGAACAACCAGCAUGGGAUCAACUCUUCUUGUCUUGUGCUUCCUGCCGCUUGCAGAUGGAUGUGACGGAUGGAGAGCUGAAUUGAGAUCUGUUGGGUCUAAUUGAGCCUUAAUUAUAAUACAUUAAACAAUUAAAAUAAUGAAGAUCAGGCACAAUCAAUUCUCAAUACAAAGAGAUUUAGCAAGAUUAGGCUUUUAAAACUGUACAGAUGAUGCCAUUAAUCUUGGAAGAGCUCCAAUGUAAACAAUACAAUUCCCAGACAGCUGGGAGGGCAGCAAACCAGAGGUAAGAUCAGAUUCCCAGCAAAAAGUGUAAGGGUAGAUAGAUUUUUUUUACCUCCAUUUUACAGCUUUUACAUGAAAGCAAAAUACUGUACAUAUCAAAACACAUAUAACAUGAUUUGAGUAAUAGGAAUUGUGGAUUUCAGGAAAGCAGCUUGCAAUGUGUGGUGAAUUAUGUAUGCUACUGUACUUCUCGUUUAUAUGUCUGAGAGUUAUGCAGUUAGUUAUUUAUAUUAACUUUGGCACUGAGGAGGAUGGCUCUUGCUGAACCCUGGGAGCAGAAGAUGCUCUUUGUCCGUGAAGCAGGUAGAGCACUGUGAGAGAUGAGAGGGGACUUUGGGCCCCACGCUUGUUCCUUUCCUGACCUCUCUGGGGAUCUCAUCAUCACUUUUAUCAGCAGGAAUGCAUUUAUGGCACUUUGUCAUUGGUGAGAAAAACCUGCUGUGUGAAGCUGGGCUCCCCCUGGAACUCCAAAGCUGAUGGAAGGAAGGUCCUGGAGCCUGGGCACAAAGCAACCCAAAGCUGUUUGUGAGGGGCAGAGUGAGGUGUGAAGCUGUAAUGGGAGAGUGGGUAAAUGUGACCAAAAGCCCGGCCUGGAGUUCACAGGUAAAAUGAUUUUACCAGAAAAGGAAAUUCUUUUUAAAAAAGCCAAGGAACAAAGACAUUUGAGGCAUCCUCUGGGAAAUAAGGAUGAGCAAUCUGACUGUGGGUUUUCUUUGUAUAAUCGAACGCUGUAUUCCUGGAGGGAUCUUUUUAUUUGGUUCUUUGCUCUCUCUGAUUCCUCUCGACAAUGUACACAAAAUGCAGCACAGAAGAGAGAGAGUCAGGGGGAGAUAACAGGGUACUGAGAGAAUGUAAUUAGUAAGUCCUUGUGGCACUGAGGGGGACUAUGGAGGGUGAGGAGCAAAAACAGAUCCUCCCGAUGUCUGAAUGUAUUAAACUUUUCAUCAAAGAAAGGCCAAAGAGGCACCAAAAGCAGUUGAUAAUUUUAGGAAACCUACAAAAGUGUGUUAGGCAAUACAUUCUCUUUUCUCUUUUCAUUUCACCGUAGGAAAACUUAGUGCUGCACCACUUUCAAGCAGGAGAAUUUGGGCCAAGGAUUUAGCAACGGACAUCUGAAGAACUCAGAAAAAGCAAGGGAUGGGGAAAACAGAACAAAGGAAGAGACUGGCUCCCUUUCACAGCAACCUUCUUUCACAGCUCCUCAGCAGACACAGACAACUACCUUCACAUGCGAGAUGUACAUCUUGUACGUAACCACAGGAGAAAAGCCUCUAUCAAAAGAAGAAACAAGCCAGUAGGUGGCUGAUACCAGAAAACAGAAGCAAGAUGUCAGCAUGUUCAAUGGCUGCGUUCUCCUGAGUGAAGGAAAAGUACCUGGGAAAGCAAUGAGAGGAGAGAUGAGGAGCUGCCUGCAGCAGAGAGAACAGCUGGCUAGAAGAGAACAUAUCAGGACAACUGCCAGCAUACUGAGCGAGAGGUGUUGGGAGUGUUUGUUGUUCACACUCACCAACCUGAUGUGAUUUAUUGUGCUUUUAUUUCAUCUUCCUUCAGAGAUGUUAUGUCUGUUUAAAUACAGUUUUCACUCUGUUGCUCACUACUGGAGAUGCUUCACUCAAGGAGGCCCAGGUAAUACAAUGCAACUUCUUCCUGGAAGCCCAAAAUGAUGUUUAAAUGACAUUCUGCAAAGACUGUAAAAAUGGAACACAACCUCUGCCUCGUUAGUCAGUUUGUGGCAGAACAGCAGGAAAGCCUGUCUGAACUUGAAUCUUAUUGCUGUAUUUAGACGUAUUUUUUCACGGUGAAGACGUAGCCUUGGAGUCCAUCAUCCCAGAAUAGAAGAGCAUGUCAAAAACACUUCUAAGGUAUGAUUUGUUCAUUAGUCUGUGAUCAUACUCUAGGGAAGACAAAGCAGUACAACCUUUUCAAUACAAGGGAAAUAUUUCCUAUUUCCUAAAUUUGGGGUUUUAAAUUGAGUUUACUUUAGCCAAAUGGGGAGUCCAUCACACUGCAGGGGCCAGCAGAGCAUGGUGGGGUUGUUAAAAAUGUAUUUAAAUCUAUGCUAAACUCAUUGAAUUUUACUGGUUUCAGCAGCCACCUUUCUGAAAAAACUGUGUUUCAACACAUUCAAAAUGAAACCUUAUAUUUUUUUCACAUCAAAAAACCCUCUCCUUUCAAGUCUUACCUACACUUAUUUUAGUGAAAAUCAGCUGAUCUCCCCAAAAUAGAACAUGUCUUUUGCCAUUGUGCACAGCUCCCAUGUUUUGUUUCUUUGCUGGCUUUCACUUUUACCAUGAGGGGUAAAAAAGCCCUCAGUCCAGAGCAGCCACAGGCCUUCUGGCUCUUUAUCCAUUGGGCGAAAGCAAAAACUCAGUAAUCUGUGAAGAUGGGCAAAACCGAGGGUGUUCAUCCAUUGUGGGCAGGCAAUGCUGCUUCUCUCACAGAAGCAGAGAGCACACCAUCAAACAAGGACUUGGAGAGCCCUCAUUAACACCUCUAUGGAGUGCUGAUUAAUUGGGUUAAUUGGCAGUCUGAGCCAUGAAACACAAUGUCAUGCUCAGGGCUGGCCUGGAAGAAUGAGACCUGGUAGGGUGCAAGUGGCUCUGGCCAUUAUGGCCUCCUGACCUUUCAAAAGCUUCCCCAGCCUUGAACUGGGAAGGUCAGGGCCCACUGCCAACCAAGGGCAGCACAAGGGGCUGGAGCAGCUGGUGGGCACCAGGACAUGGCAGGCUAGGCUGGUGAGCAGAGCAUUGACCUGAGAGGGGAGGAGACCAGGAAGGUGAUGGCCAUCCCAUUUUCAGGAGGAGAAGGGCACCGAGCUGUGACCUUGGUACAUGUGAGGACCUGUCCUUUGUAGGUCAUUAUAGGAAUUACAUAAGGUGAAACCAGUGCUUUCAGAUUGCUGUCAUGCACUCAAAUAAAAUCAG